rnacentral:lncRNA from 1 species
UCCUUAGGAAGUUAGAUUGGUUCGUAUGAGUAUGUGGGUGUUAUCCCACCUAGAAGUGGUCUAGUGCAAAUACUUAGGUCCUUGGGAUGAAUCUUGACUCGACUACAAAUAUGUGUGGAAGGUAGUAUGGGCCCGUACUACUAAAAGCAAAGGAUCUGUAUGAGAUUCAGAAGGAAUAUCAAGGCUAAUAAGGAUCUAAUAGGAGGAGGCAUGGUGUGUUGAGAAUUGUGUUUUGAUUUCUGAUAUUUCUGUUGGGUUUUGAGCAUUCUAACACUUCCUAAGUGUACAUGCAACCCUAAAUACCUUGGAUCUAUGUUUUCUCUAUUAUACAUGCAAAUAAGAACAUCCAAGGUAUUAUCCUAAUCUAGCAUACAAAAACUAUGAAUGUAACAAGAUAGAAUACAUACCUCUUGAUGUAGCUUGAUGUCUUCAAGCUUUAAGAGCUUAGCCCCAAUAGUGUGGAAGCCUCAAGUGGAAUCACAAAUCACCAAGACACCUUAGAAUACUUUAGAGAAUAUGAUUACUUGGUUCUCUCUAGUGAAAUUGGCUAGCCCUUCUUUAGUGUAUCCACACUAGUGCCAAUUUCACCAACCAAAGACAUCUUUAUAUAGUAUGGAGGAUUAGGGUUAAACCCUAAUACCCAUGACCUUUCAUUUCCUAGGAUCCAUGGGUUAAACACUCCAUGGACUAUCCAUGAAAGCUUAGCCCAACCUAAAUGAACUUGGCCCAUUCCAUAUAUAUAAGAGUCCAUAUUUAAUUAGUUCCUUUUGAUCACUUAAUUAAUUAUAAAUUAAUUCUUGAUCAAUACUAAUUAAAUAAUAUGAUUCCAUAUUAAUAUAUUAGAACUUAUAAUAUAUUAAUAUUAAUCAUAAACAUACUAUUCUCAAAAGAUUAUCCAUAUAAAUUGUGUCGGUGAAGUGCAACCCAAAUGGACCAUGCCGGGUCGGGUCAAGUACAUACCAAAUAUAGUUAUGGACUUAGACAUUAAUCCAACAGUCUCCCACUUGGAUAAGUCUAAAACUAUUAUUGCGUAUGACUUCAAACCUAACUGGCAAUCGUAGCUCUUAAAGCUGCUGUCGAACUCUGAUCUUGUCAACGAACUUGUCCAUUAGAUAAGGGAUCAUAUAUUCCUCCAUUCUAGAUAUCAUAUGGACUGAGACAUGGAUUAUAAUCAUUCUCUCUGUCCAUUUGUUGUUUCCCGAUUUCCGAUUUAUGACGACUGACUAAUUGAACAAAUCAAAUCAGUCCUGGCCCGGCCGAGCACUUCCAUUUGUCAUCAUCAAAUCAUCGAGGGGCCCACAGAUAUCGCUUUUAUCCCGAAGGUAAAAGGAAUGGAUAAACUUCGACUCAUAUGGCUUGUUCUACUACUUGUUGAAUCAUACACAAAGGCACGUUUUAUAGCACCGAGUUACCAAAUGCGUUUUCGUGCAAUCAAUGUACAACCAACUCAUAGUAACAACUCAUAUCUCUAGGUUUGAAGAAUAUAAGAUAUUAUCGUCUCAUGAUCACUCGUGAUAAAAUCCAUGAAGUGAUUCCAAUGAGCGCGGGUUGAAUCCAAUACUCAGAACUUAUGAGCACUCAUGAGUGUUGUAGCCCUUUGUCCAACACCUUAGACCUCUACAAGCCAACCCAUGACAGUCUUAAUUCAUAUCUACUUCCAACAUAUGACCGACUGUGGAUGGUUUGAAUAACUUAGUCAUUCCGGAAGAAUAACCUAGUUUAUUCGGGAAGUCAAAACAUGCAAAGUGAAACACAAUAAUAAUUGAAUCCAAUAUGGUAUCAAAUCUUUGAACAUAAAUAAAACACCUUUUAUUUAUCACCAUAUGAUUACACAUUAUUCAUUGUAUACUGUUUCAGCUAUCAACUUUAUUCUUGAAUUUAAAACAAUAGUUGUCCCAUGCUCCAAGCAUGUACACUAUGUUUUCUUAAACACUAGUCAUGCCACACACCAAGUAUGCAUACUAUGUUUGUCUAUGAUCUUUACUUUGUGAACUAGAUCAAUUGAACAUAACUUCAAUGAUUCUCUUUUCACACUCCCAAAUCCUUACUGCAAAUGCAAGAAUUCCAAAUUCAUGCCAUUUACUGAAAUCUGUUAGAUUCUAAACUUAUAUGCAUUGAUCCUCUUGUAAUGAUUAUGCACAAAGUCAGAAAGACUUGACAACAAUCAUUACAGAGUAUUCCAAAGGAGAUCAGCUCCUUGGAAACAUCCUUCUUGCAUUAAGUUUCCUAAUCUUAAACAGAUUGAAAAUUCUAACUUUGAAACAUUUCCAGAUUCCAUUUUGACUAUCACUUCUGAACAAGAGUUGCCUCCUUACAGAUUAUGUCAAUAUGGUCCUUCCAGAAUUAUCACUAUACUUCCAACUGUCCUUGAGCAACCAAUCUUUGGUAAACCUUAGAUUGUCCUCGACAAUUGUUUAAUCCUUUUAGUCAUAUCCAGUUCUAAACCUUUUCCCUUCUUAAUGCCCCAGGCAUUUGGAAAAUUUUAGAACGGAUGAAUAUAGCACAUGUAAUCGAUCCUAUAUCCGAAGCAUAUGGGACACGAUUCAUGAUGUCUUACAUAAAGACUAAACCAGUCUUUUGCUAUAAUAUUUCCAUUUCAAUUUGCCAAGUUCUCAUAAUUCAGAUUAUGAAAAGGGAUGCCGUAAUCAUAAUCGAAUUUUAGAACGCAAAUAAUGGACCCAUAUACAGAAUUUCCUUAUGUUGAGCCAUUCCAACAUGAAAUUCAUAUAUAUCCUUGACUAAAUGAUUAAAACCUCACGAUCUAAGCUUAUAGAUUUGAGAUGAAGUAUAAUUUCCUCUCCCUUAAUUAUAGCAAAACAACUUUUUCCCAAUUGAAACUUUUGUUUUCUAUAAUUAACAUUGCUAACUUGCAAUACUUAUCAUAAUUAUCAUGCUCCCACUAACAUGAUGAUUAUUAGCAUAACACUUAUGCUCCCACUAGCUUUGACAUGUACUCAGAAAUCAGCUGGACUUCUAGAAAUCAAUACUUCAUUGACUUUCUUACCAAAGUUCAGAUUUCUGAUGCUAGAUUGUUUUGAUAAAACUUUAUCAAAAUCAUACACCUUCCCUUAGAUAGCACACUUGUGUAUCUAAACAAUUAUGAAGAGGGAUGCCGUAAUCAUAAUGUUUAGACCUUUUUGCCACUUCUCACAAGUCCAAAUUAGUGUGCCGGUUAACCACACGCGCUCCACUAACGACUUUGAGAAUGCAAAUAUCACAAUUGCUAUCUAGCUAAAAUCUACUUAGUGAAAGUGUUUCCUCACCAUCAUUUUCAUGAAUCGGAGAGAAACCUUAUGACACUUAGAUUUAAUGGUGUAUGUGUUCUUAUCCAUGUGAAUUGUCAAAACCAUAGUCACAAGACAAGGAUAAUGACAAAUCCAAACUCAUAUGGACUGAACUCAAUCUUAAUUUCUUGCCACCUGGCAGCUCAAGGGCCUACCAUUGCUUCCAAGUUGUUGUGCAACAAAUUGAGAACUCUAAGAACUCAUAUGCAAAACCAACUUUAACUGGAAUGGGCACAGAAUAUGUCAACACGAUAGGUUAUGAACCUCAAGUUGUGUGCUAGUGAAGAACUUUAGGUUUUAUUCUUGAUUAGUUCUUGAGACUUUCAAGACUUUUAAGACUCCCACUGACCUCUUGACCUAUAAGACUCCCUUGUCAAAUAUCCAAGAGAUAGUGUGGAUUCUAAUCAAGACAAACACUUCACACAAUUGGCCUAAGUUGGUCUUUGUUUUAUCCAAAACAUCACAACUUACCAAUUUCAAAUGUACAAGAGUAGAAAACUUUUACUCUUACAUUUGACAAGUGUUUUAAACCUUCUUUAAGACAUGUCACUCAAGUUACAAUCUUGGAGUAUGACUCUAAGACUUGUAUUGGAACGAAGUAUGACUCAUCUUCUUGAUUUAACCAUUUCAACAAUUCAAGUUCCUCUUCUUAGUCAUAAGAAUGCACUAAGAUUUCCUUAGAGAACUAAUUUUGAUAUGGUUUCUUAAUCAUUAAGAUGAUCACAAAACUGAUACUAAAGUACUCUCCCAUCUUUUCAGAUUUGAGAAACUUUUAUCCUUCUGCCUAAUUUGAUUCUUCUUAUUCGCUCUGCCAUACAUUGGAACCUUUUCCAAUGUCUCAGAGUUACACUUAAGCUUGUAAGUAUAAUCAUAUUUACUGAGCUUUAGUAAACUAUGACGAAUAGUCUUAUCAAUCUUUUGUGGUGGACUUAAUCAGUGCACAAGAAUGUGUACUCGAUCCCUUAGUCCUUUACUUGACUCACACAUCCAUGUGGCCGAGUAAUUAGUCUUAAUUUUCCAAAACUUGAAAGUUCUCAUUCAUCAUGCUAUACAACUUGCAUGAUUCCAAGUUCCGGUCCAAUUGAAACUUGGGUGAUGAGAAUCUUUCCUUAUUUGGUAAAUCUAGACAUUACCACAAAUGAAAGAAUCAAUUUCAUAUUUCCACUCUUGCUAUUAAUGGAAUCAUAUAAGCAACAAUUUUUCCUCAAAUGCCAUUGUAAGGAUAUUUUAAAAUAAAUAAAAUCAAAAAUUUUCUUUUAUUUUAAAACUUUGCGGAAAAACUUAUCCUUACAAUCCAUAUGAAAACUUGUUGUUAUCUAUUCCUAAGCAAUAUCUCAUAACUCCUAAGAAGUUGCUCAAGAAUCCGAUCUUCAAACUAUGCGAUAGAAAUCCAUCUACGCCAUCAGAUUCAGCAUAUUCUUUCUUUAAGUUUCUUCACUUUUCUUUGAUUCUUAAAACAUCACCAUGUGACCCAGUCACAUCAUGUAUCAGGAAUCUCAGAAUAGAAACUUAACAGAGUUAGAUAGUGGACUUUACCUGAAGUAGAGUCAAACUUAUUGACUUUAACAUCCUUAGGUAAAUUUGGCAGCUUCGCAACCAAUGCCCCUUCCUUUGGCAAUAUAAACAUAUGGACCCUUUGAUAAUGGUACACGAGACUAUCACAGACUUAGCUUUUCUCUUUACCAUUUGGUCAACCGAGUUGACUAUGGCCGAUCCCUUUCCAUUGGGAAGAGAAUGCUUUACUGGAUAUCCAAUGUCAUCAUUGUCAAUGUCCAUAAAGUUUUAGGAAGUUGAUCUUAGCAAAUAGAUAAGAUCAUUAAGGGUCUUGUCAUAGUCUGUUUCAUAGGUGUCCCAAAGGAACUCACUAUGUGACUUAGAAAGUGAUUGAACCACCAACUUUCUCAAGACUUUGACACCCAACUCUCCCGGCUUGUCAAUAUGUGACUACAUCUCCAAGAUGUGAUCACACCUAGACCUUGCCUUGCCAAUAGGGCUUGAGUGACCUUAAACUUUUCAAGAACUUGUGGGUUAGGGAGAAUAAUUGGAGGAGGAGAAAGAAGUAUGAUAUCCAUGGGACAUCAUCUUCAUUAGGAAACCUUGUUUCAAGAGAUUUGGGAAGAUCAUAGGUGUCUAAACCAGACAUCUUUUGGGAGAUAUUCAAGAUAGUUGAUUUAAAGUCCUUAAUAUGACACCCAAUAUGAAAUAUUAAGGCUAGGACCCAACAAACUAUUUUAUAACUUAGAAGAGGUAUGCCGUAAUCCAAGCUAUAAAAUAUUUGAAGGUAGGUGAAUGACGAUUCACCAAUUUCCACCAAGAUAAACGAAAUGUAUUAUUAGGUUUUAAUUGGUUUUGAAACUCCUAGAUCUUUGAGAUUCAUUGAACUGUUCAAAGGCAUGUUUCAAUCUCGAGUGUGCCCUUCAGGUUUUGUGACUGGGAUGCCGAGGAUCACAAAACAAGGUGUGAAGUAACCAUGCAAAUCACUUGGUACCCUUAAUAAAUUACCCCUCAAUCGAUGUGCCGGUUAACCACACACGCUCCAUCGAUACUAUGAUAAAUAUUAAGUCACCCUUUACCUACCUUGUUAAGUCCAAGUUAGUGUGCCGGUUAACCACACACGCUCCACUAACGACUUAGACAAAGUGUAAAGUGUAAUUUCAUGGAUUAGCACCUUAUUCACAUUUUUCCUAAGUAACUAAGAUUGGGUAUUAUUAAGAGUUUAGUUACUUAGUAUUAUCAUUAAUACUUUUAAUGAAGGGAGAAUUCUAGUCCUGUCAAACCCGUUCGGCUAACGACCCUCCACCAGUCAAGCAAGCGGUGGGUGAGAGUGGACACCCAUUAAGUUGCCAUUUUAUAGGCAACAACCUUAUACCCACCUUAUAGACCGGCUUCGUGAAUGAGGCGUACUAGCGGUAAGACUGACUUUACUCUUAUACAUAUAUAUAUUAUUAACUUAUAAUAUUAUAAAGUAUAAGGGUUGAAUUUUAACUUUUAAAAUUCUAAGGGCUAACUUGGAAUUAAAGUAUUCAUAAGUGAAAACUUUACAAAUUCCAAAACUUGAGGGCAAGUUUUGAAACUAUUCAAAACUAAUUAAUUCCAUAACUUAUGUGUUUAAAGUAGUUUUAAUCCAAAAACUCUUCAAGUUCCAUAACUUGAGGACAAGUUAUGGAAGACUUUAAACUAAUAAAAGAAUUAACUUUUCUUUAUUUUAUAACUUAUGGAAUUAAUUAAGGUUACACUUUUUUUUUUUUUAUUUUAUUUUAUUAAAUGAAGAGACUCUUGGUCCUCCAUAACUUGAGGACAAGUUAUGGAGUCAUAAAACCAUUUAAUUAGAACUAGACUCUUCAUUUUUGUAACCUUUGCCAAUUUUUAUGAGUUUUAUGAUUCUUAAAUGUGACUUUUCAUAUAACUUGAGGACAAGUUACAAAAACACAUUUUAGAAUCAAUUCUUAGAUUAAUUUGGAUUAAAACCAACUAUCACAUAAUUUUAUUCAUUAAUCUAAAUUCACUCAUAAAACAAGGUAACACAAAAAACUUUUGGUGAUCCAUAACUUAUUCUUAAGUUAUGGAAUCCUUUAAAACAUUAACACCAAAUUUUGUAACUCCAAAAAAACUUUGAAUCAAUUUUUUUUUUAAAACCUUUUCAUAUCCAUAACUUAUGGAGGUUUCAAAAAAUAAAACUCUUUAGAUCAAACUUUUAAAACUAAUAAAAUAAUCAUAUUAUUUUAUCUUUUAUUAAAUUUGACCUAAUUCAACUCAUAAAGCAAAUUAUUCAAAUUUUACAAAUAAUUAGUUUUUCACAAGAACAAGUAAUUAUCUUAAAAUUUGACAAACUUCAUGUUUUUUUUUUUUUUUUUUUUCAACUUUGAAAAUAAAAUAUUUGCAUCAAUAUAACAGAAAACAACCCGUGGCUCUGAUACCACUGUUGGGUUUUGAGCAUUCUAACACUUCCUAAGUGUACAUGCAACCCUAAAUACCUUGGAUCUAUGUUUUCUCUAUUAUACAUGCAAAUAAGAACAUCCAAGGUAUUAUCCUAAUCUAGCAUACAAAAACUAUGAAUGUAACAAGAUAGAAUACAUACCUCUUGAUGUAGCUUGAUGUCUUCAAGCUUUAAGAGCUUAGCCCCAAUAGUGUGGAAGCCUCAAGUGGAAUCACAAAUCACCAAGACACCUUGGAAUACUUUAGAGAAUAUGAUUACUUGGUUCUCUCUAGUGAAAUUGGCUAGCCCUUCUUUAGUGUAUCCACACUAGUGCCAAUUUCACCAACCAAAGACAUCUUUAUAUAGUAUGGAGGAUUAGGGUUAAACCCUAAUACCCAUGACCUUUCAUUUCUUAGGAUCCAUGGGUUAAACACUCCAUGGACUAUCCAUGAAAGCUUAGCCCAACCUAAAUGAACUUGGCCCAUUCCAUAUAUAUAAGAGUCCAUAUUUAAUUAGUUCCUUUUGAUCACUUAAUUAAUUAUGAAUUAAUUCUUGAUCAAUACUAAUUAAAUAAUAUGAUUCCAUAUUAAUAUAUUAGAACUUAUAACAUAUUAAUAUUAAUCAUAAACAUACUAUUCUCAAAAUAUUAUCCAUAUAAAUUGUGUCGGUGAAGUGCAACCCAAAUGGACCAUGCCGGGUCGGGUCAAGUACAUACCAAAUAUAGUUAUGGACUUAGACAUUAAUCCAACA